rnacentral:lncRNA from 1 species
AAGGUUUAAACCUCUCUUUAUAUACAAGAAGUAUGGUAACAGAUUCUCAAAGCAACACAAGAAUUAUAAAACAUUUUGGAGUUCAAAGUUCAAAACUAGGAGUAGAGAUAUUCUCCAUAGAUUCGAAAGAGUUAAGGUUUAGCCACUACUCUAGCUUGGAAAUGCAUUUAGUAUCGAGGAUGGCACAAAUGGGCCUCCCGUUAAACACCAUCCUGAUUCACUCUCUCUCCGCUUACCUGGCGAUGACGUGGCAUCAGCCCUCCUUUUUGUUUUAUCUCCAGCGCACUCCCUCUCCCGUCCGUCGCCGCUGCACACUCCCGCCCGCGGCUAUCGCCCGCCCGCGGCUCCCGC